AACGAACGCUGGCGGCAGGCUUAACACAUGCAAGUCGAACGCCCCGCAAGGGGAGUGGCAGACGGGUGAGUAACGCGUGGGAAUCUACCCAGAUCUUCGGAACAACUGAGGGAAACUUCAGCUAAUACCGGAUACGCCCUACGGGGGAAAGAUUUAUCGGUUCUGGAUGAGCCCGCGUUGGAUUAGCUAGUUGGUGAGGUAAUGGCUCACCAAGGCGACGAUCCAUAGCUGGUCUGAGAGGGUGAGCAGCCACACUGGGACUGAGACACGGCCCAGACUCCUACGGGAGGCAGCAGUGGGGAAUAUUGGACAAUGGGCGAAAGCCUGAUCCAGCCAUGCCGCGUGAGUGAUGAAGGCCUUAGGGUUGUAAAGCUCUUUCAGUGGGGAAGAUAAUGACGGUACCCACAGAAGAAGCCCCGGCUAACUUCGUGCCAGCAGCCGCCGUAA
rnacentral:rRNA from 1 species